rnacentral:rRNA from 1 species
GUCGAACGGCAGCACAGUAAGAGCUUGCUCUUAUGGGUGGCGAGUGGCGGACCGGUGAGGAAUACAUCGGAAUCUACUUUUUCGUGGGGGAUAACGUAGGGAAACUUACGCUAAUACCGCAUACGACCUACGGGUGAAAGCAGGGGACCUUCGGGCCUUGCGCGAUUGAAUGAGCCGAUGUCGGAUUAGCUAGUUGGCGGGGUAAAGGCCCACCAAGGCGACGAUCCGUAGCUAGUCUGAGAGGAUGAUCAGCCACACUGGAACUGAGACACGGUCCAGACUCCUACGGGAGGCAGCAGUGGGGAAUAUUGGACAAUGGGCGCAAGCCUGAUCCAGCCAUACCGCGUGGGUGAAGAAGGCCUUCGGGUUGUAAAGCCCUUUUGUUGGGAAAGAAAUCCAGCCGGCUAAUACCUGGUUGGGAUGACGGUACCCAAAGAAUAAGCACCGGCUAACUUCGUGCCAGCAGCCGCGGUAAUACGAAGGGUGCAAGCGUUACUCGGAAUUACUGGGCGUAAAGCGUGCGUAGGUGGUUGUUUAAGUCUGUUGUGAAAGCCCUGGGCUCAACCUGGGAACUGCAGUGGAAACUGGACAACUAGAGUGUGGUAGAGGGUAGCGGAAUUCCCGGUGUAGCAGUGAAAUGCGUAGAGAUCGGGAGGAACAUCCAUGGCGAAAGCAGCUACCUGGACCCACACUGACACUGAAGCACGAAAGCGUGGGGAGCAAACAAGAUUAGAUACCCCUGGUAGUCCACGCCCUAAACGAUGCGAACUGGAUGUUGGGGGGCAUUUGGGACGCAAUAUCCAAACUUACGCCUUUAGUUCGCCCCCUGGGGGAGGAAGGUCGGAAGAAUGAAAC